GCUGCUGCUGACAUGAAGCUGGGAUUGCUGCUGCUGUUGGCCGUGGCCGCCUUUGUGCCUCACCUGUCUGAGAGCAGGAUUGUCUCAAGGUGCGAGCUGAAGCAGAAGCUCCAGCAGGCUCUGACCGUUACCAAAACCAACGAAAGAAACUACGACCAAAUCAUAGCUCUAGUUUCCUGCGAAGUGGAGAGGAGAUCCCAUCUGGACUCCAGCCUGGUGAUGGGGAACGCUGUGCGCCCUCCUCUACCAGUCGCACCAACCGCACGGGUGGUUGCUGGCAACGAAACGGUCGCCGCCGCAGGCGCCGGCUCAACAACCUCGCCGCCGGCAUCGCCGACGCCCCGAACGGCACCGCUGGCGGUUUGAGACAAAAGCGAGAGGCUCGGAACGAAGGAAAACGCAACGGGAAAUGGAGCAGGAAUGAUGACGACAGCAAGGACGACAACAGUGAAGACGACAGUGAUGGCAGCAAGGACGAAAGUGAAGACGACAGCAGUGAAGAAAACGAAGAUGACAGCAGUGAAGAUGAAGAGGACAGCGAAGGAAGUGAUGACACCAAUGUCGGGCCUGGAAUCCAGGAGACGGCAACUCAGGCAGACAUGACACCAACGGUUGUCACGGACACAACUGGGAUGUCAAACAACACUGCCGGCAGCUUGAGACGAAAACGAGACGCUCCGUCCAAAAAGGAACACAAGAAGAAAAACAAGAAGGACAAGAAGAAAGAGGAUGGCAGCAGCGAAGACAGCCGUGCUGGUAGGCCCAAUAAGGAAUCUGCUUCUGGUGAAAGUCAUGAGAAGGUAACGGAUGGAGGCAUCAGGUCAUCGACCAGUAAACCCACCACAUCCGCCGCCUCCUUCACCGCCACCGGCGCCGCUGCCGCGUCAGGCAGCACCUCUGCGGGGCUCAGGAAGAAACGAGAGGCUCGCUUCAGGAGGAGUCCAGGCAGAAGAGGCGGCAAAGAGGAGAAGAGCGAAGAAGAGGAGAGCAAAGAAGAGAAGCAACAAGUCGGAAGCAACCAACAGGGAACCGUUAAGCCCACGCCGAGUGGCGCCUCCGUUCACGCCACUGCAUCCGCUUCUGCUGCAACCGGAACGGCCGGCGGUCCGAGACGGAGUCGACGGGCUGCCUCCUCCGAGGGCAAGAACAAGAACGAUGACAAAAGCAAAGGAAGCAAGGAUUCGUCUUCUCAGGAGGAGGCCUCCAACGGAUCCGUCAGCUUUUACGGCCUCUUCCAGCUGUCCGGCAGCCUCUGUGAUUCGGGCAACGGCGGCUCCAAGAACGAGUGCGGCAAGACGUGCUCAGCUUUCAUCGAUGGAGACAUAGCCGACGAUGUGGAAUGCUUCGUGGACAGUGGUUACUGGAGGUCAAUUCUGAGGGACGUCUCCAGCAUCUGCUUCAAGCAAAUGGACACCUACUUUGCUGAAUGUCAAUAAGAAACUCCACAAAUCCAGUUUCUACCUCUUUCAAAAAGCUUGAGGUUUUGGCUUCUGGGUGCAAAUAUUUUUCUGUCUUUAGAACUGACAUAUCCUUUGGUGUUUCUGUAUGUACUGAAAGAAAUCUCAUGCUUUCUCUUUUCUCUCAAUAAAAGUGCAUUCUAUCAUGAAAAGUAUGAACAUGUUUUGGAACUGAAAACAUUGAUGUUGGGCAGGCCCUUAGAAAUGAGCAGAAAAUUCUGACCAAGAACUCUUAUUUUGAAAAUACUAGUCACUAAGACACAUUUUUUCAAAAUAAAAUUCACUUUCUCAAUUUUUUUACUUUCUUUAGAUUCCGUUUUUGCAGUGUCAGUACAUUUAAAACAAGGUAACUGUAUUUUUAUGCUGUUUUUUUUAUAAAGUGAUUUAGACAGAAAAAAAAGUGCAGAGAAAUUCAACCCACAUUAAAGUUUUUAAAUGUAAUUAAAGGAGUAAAACUCAAAAGUUUAAAGUUCUAAAGAGGAAAAAUGAAGGAGUUAGAAUGAAUGUUGUGCAGUAUUUUGAGCUUGGAUUAAAAAAUAAUGUUGAAAUGUUUAAUUGAUGUGAUCAAUGACACUGAGAAUAAAAUCUUGUCACAGAAUUCUAUUGUCGUAUUUUAUGAUAUCUAAAUGCACAACAGCAGUAAAACGAGA
ensembl:lncRNA